CCUACGGGAGGCAGCAGUGGGGAAUUUUGGACAAUGGGCGCAAGCCUGAUCCAGCCAUGCCGCGUGCAGGAUGAAGGCCUUCGGGUUGUAAACUGCUUUUGUACGGAACGAAAAGGUUUGGCCUAAUAAGUUGAACUCAUGACGGUACCGUAAGAAUAAGCACCGGCUAACUACGUGCCAGCAGCCGCGGUAAUACGUAGGGUGCGAGCGUUAAUCGGAAUUACUGGGCGUAAAGCGUGCGCAGGCGGUUAUGUAAGACAGAUGUGAAAUCCCCGGGCUCAACCUGGGAACUGCAUUAGUGACUGCAUAGCUGGAGUACGGCAGAGGGGGAUGGAAUUCCGCGUGUAGCAGUGAAAUGCGUAGAUAUGCGGAGGAACACCGAUGGCGAAGGCAAUCCCCUGGGCCUGUACUGACGCUCAUGCACGAAAGCGUGGGGAGCAAACAGGAUUAGAUACCCUGGUAGUCCACGCCCUAAACGAUGUCAACUGGUUGUUGGGUCUUCACUGACUCAGUAACGAAGCUAACGCGUGAAGUUGACCGCCUGGGGAGUACGGCCGCAAGGUUGAAACGUUAAAGGAAAUUGACGG
rnacentral:rRNA from 1 species